rnacentral:ncRNA from 4 species
CUCUUAUUCUGAGCGGUGGAGGGAACAAGGCCCUACGAAGCCCAGCAACCGUCCGACAUGAAGUCUUGUGCGGAAAAGGUGCUAUCCUGAAGCGAAGCCAUUAGCUUCGAACGAUAAGAG